rnacentral:rRNA from 1 species
GUCCAUGGCCAGACCAUCCUGAAUAGGCGUGAUCCCAUCUUGGAAGCUGAGCUGGGUUGGGCCUGGUUAUUACUUGUAUGGGAGACCUCCUGGGAAUACCAGGUGUUGCAGCCU